UACGAAGGGGGCUAGCGUUGUUCGGAAUCACUGGGCGUAAAGGGCGCGUAGGCGGCCUUCUAAGUCGAACGUGAAAUCCCCGGGCUCAACCCGGGAACUGCGUCCGAUACUGGAAGGCUUGAAUCCGGGAGAGGGAUGCGGAAUUCCAGGUGUAGCGGUGAAAUGCGUAGAUAUCUGGAGGAACACCGGUGGCGAAGGCGGCAUCCUGGACCGGCAUUGACGCUGAGGCGCGAAAGCCAGGGG
rnacentral:rRNA from 1 species